GGUGAUCUAGCCAUGGGCAGGUUGAAGGUUGGGUAACACUAACUGGAGGACCGAACCGACUAAUGUUGAAAAAUUAGCGGAUGACCUGUGGCUGGGGGUGAAAGGCCAAUCAAACCGGGAGAUAGCUGGUUCUCCCCGAAAGCUAUUUAGGUAGCGCCUCGUGAAUUCAUCUCCGGGGGUAGAGCACUGUUUCGGCUAGGGGGUCAUCCCGACUUACCAACCCGAUGCAAACUGCGAAUACCGGAGAAUGUUAUCACGGGAGACACACGGCGGGUGCUAACGUCCGUCGUGAAGAGGGAAACAACCCAGACCGCCAGCUAAGGUCCCAAAGUCAUGGUUAAGUGGGAAACGAUGUGGGAAGGCCCAGACAGCCAGGAUGUUGGCUUAGAAGCAGCCAUCAUUUAAAGAAAGCGUAAUAGCUCACUGGUCGAGUCGGCCUGCGCGGAAGAUGUAACGGGGCUAAACCAUGCACCGAAGCUGCGGCAGCGACACUCAGGUGUUGUUGGGUAGGGGAGCGUUCUGUAAGCCUG
rnacentral:rRNA from 1 species